rnacentral:sRNA from 1 species
GUUGCAGCAAAAUCUGUAACCGGACGUGAGAAUCCGAACUACCCUGAAUGGCGCAAACACGCCAAUGCGUGUUUUUU